UUGCGGUUAAAAAGCUCGUAGUUGGAUCUCGGCAGGUAGGGGGCGGUUCGUUUCUGACGGCACUGCCCCAUUUACCUGUGUUUUUGACGGAGGUUUCACGGUGAUUUUCAUCGAUUGUCGUGAUACGCCGUCAGGUUUACUUUGAAAAAAUUAGAGUGCUCAAAGCAGGCUACAAGCUUGAAUAUUUGUGCAUGGAAUAAUGGAAUAGGAAGUCGUUUCUAUUUUUUUGGUUUUCGGAAAUUGACUUAAUGAUUAAUAGGGACAGCCGGGGGCAUUCGUACUCAGACGACAGAGGUGAAAUUCUUGGACCGUCUGAGGACGAGCUACUGCGAAAGCAUUUGCCAAGAGUGUUUUCAUUAAUCAAGAACGAAAGUUAGAGGUUCGAAGGCGAUCAGAUACC
rnacentral:rRNA from 1 species